UACAGAGGUCUCAAGCGUUGUUCGGAUUCAUUGGGCGUAAAGGGUGCGUAGGCGGCUUCUUAAGUCAGGGGUGAAAUCCUGGAGCUCAACUCCAGAACUGCCUUUGAUACUGAGGAGCUUGAGUCCGGGAGAGGUGAGUGGAACUGCGAGUGUAGAGGUGAAAUUCGUAGAUAUUCGCAAGAACACCAGUGGCGAAGGCGGCUCACUGGCCCGGUACUGACGCUGAGGUGCGAAAGCGUGGGGAGCAAACAGG
rnacentral:rRNA from 1 species